AGAGUUUGAUCCUGGCUCAGGAUGAACGCUAGCGGCAGGCUCAACACAUGCAAGUCGAGGGGUAUAUGUCUUCGGAUAUAGAGACCGGCGCACGGGUGCGUAACGCGUAUGCAAUCUACCUUUUACAGAGGGAUAGCCCAGAGAAAUUUGGAUUAAUACCUCAUAGCAUAGCAGCUUCGCAUGAAGCAGCUAUUAAAGUCACAACGGUAAAAGAUGAGCAUGCGUCCCAUUAGCUAGUUGGUAAGGUAACGGCUUACCAAGGCUACGAUGGGUAGGGGUCCUGAGAGGGAGAUCCCCCACACUGCUACUGAGACACGGACCAGACUCCUACGGGAGGCAGCAGUGAGGAAUAUUGGACAAUGGGCGCAAGCCUGAUCCAGCCAUGCCGCGUGCAGGAUGACGGUCCUAUGGAUUGUAAACUGCUUUUGUACGAGAAGAAACACUCCUACGUGUAGGAGCUUGACGGUAUCGUAAGAAUAAGGAUCGGCUAACUCCGUGCCAGCAGCCGCGGUAAUACGGAGGAUCCAAGCGUUAUCCGGAAUCAUUGGGUUUAAAGGGUCCGUAGGCGGUUUAGUAAGUCAGUGGUGAAAGCCCAUCGCUCAACGGUGGAACGGCCAUUGAUACUGCUAAACUUGAAUUAUUAGGAAGUAACUAGAAUAUGUAGUGUAGCGGUGAAAUGCUUAGAGAUUACAUGGAAUACCAAUUGCGAAGGCAGGUUACUACUAAUGGAUUGACGCUGAUGGACGAAAGCGUGGGUAGCGAACAGGAUUAGAUACCCUGGUAGUCCACGCCGUAAACGA
rnacentral:rRNA from 1 species